UGGUGCUAGGUCCAAGCCUAGAAUCCGAACUGACGGCAAAGCCCUGGGCCACCGAAGCAGAGCCCCGAACUUGACCACUUGGCCACCAGGCUAGCCCCAUGGUGGUCUUCUUGAAGCCUCCUGGAAAACAUGAGAGAAGCUUUUUAACUCCAUGGAGACCAAUGGAUUAAUCAGUUCAAAGAUUAUUAUGUGUGGUUGAGAGAGGAAGUCGGGUGACAGAAUGAAAUAUGCUGAAGCAUGUGGGCAUUCUGACUUGUCCCAGAAGCACAAUAAGUAAACCAGCUGCUCUCAAAAUUGCAGGCUCCUUGAGGACACCGGCCAGUUCUGCUGGUCUCAGCAUUCCCAGUGUCUUCUGUGGCACCUGAGCCUGAGGAGAUUUUCCUAGUUAAGGUGGAACUCAGAGCAAAGCCUUGGCCCGAUUAUAAGUACGAGGAAGACUUCCUGGGCAAUGGAGAGAAGUAGGCAACUGGCUAACUGUGUUUCUUGGAAAAGUCUCCUUCUGAUCAUCUGGGCUGUGAAUGAGGACGCUGUGGGUAAACUGGAGUAGAAGGAACUGUCUCCUGCUGCCUGUCCCCUGGCUCCAGCUGGAGUGAUGGGGCCUGGCUCAAAGGGAGCAGCAGCCUUGCUCUGGAACAAAUCCUGUAUUGCUUUUGCAAAUAAUUAUAAUCCACUAGCAUGAAGGCUGUACCUUUUAUUUCCAUGCUACCUUGUGUUUAAAAUGACAGAGUUAAAAUGAAACCCCUGAAAAUUUAGAAGGCAAAUAAAGCAAUCCUGCUAAUUUAAUGAAGACCAA